CUACCCCUGUUAUUGCUUCCAAUUGGAGACUGCAGCUUCCAAUUGAUAGGUUGUCCUGAACCUACCCCUUUAUCUGUGUUUUUUGGGGAAGGCUUAUCCUGUUGAAUCCCUGUUAUUUUCACACUAUCUUACUCUGCCAUCCCAACACCACUUAUUGAAUAGGCCCAUUUCUCUCCACUUCUUUGAAACACUAUCAUAGACUAAAUUCUUAUCACAAUCUUAGGACUUAACAUGUAUAUUUCCCCACUCAAAGCUAAAAUAUUUAGAUUAUUAUAGUCGUUAAAGAUACAUUUUCAGAUAAGUAUUAGUCUCCAUUUUCACAAAAUGUUUGGCUCUUCCCAAUAUUACACAUAAAAUUUACAUUUGUUCUAACAAUGAAACCAAAAGAAAUAAAUAACUUGAGAUUUUGUUGGGAAUGUUGUGCCAUAAUAUGCUUCAUUUUUUAUUCAGAAAAGUGAUUUGUACCUCUAAUUACUCAAAUCUUUUAAACUGUUGUUUAAUAAAGUUCAUUUCCUUCAUAUAGAUUCUGCAUAUUUGUUAUUUAUGUCUACAUAUUUUUCUUUGAACUUGUAAACCUCUUGACUGUAUUAUUGUGGACAUAAGAGGGACAC
rnacentral:lncRNA from 1 species